CCGUGAACGAGUUAAAAGUCACAUCUGAAAACUUUUUCCACACCGCAGCUUGGAUGCUGGGUAGAGAAAAGGUUAAGACUUCUUUCUUCUGGAAUGAAAGAUUUUGAGGAAAAACCUUCCAGUUUGGUCAGAAUUAUCUGAUCAUGUGUGCAAGGGAUUUGAGCAGAGUCAUCAUCCCAGGAGGAAAUUGUCAUGUUGUGAUUCAGCUCUGUGAGUGGACCAGUCUUUGUGUGUCAUUCAGGAAGAUAACAGGGAACAUCCUUCAAGGCAACAGUCCCAGCGCACAGGGAUUGCUCCGCUGAGGCUGAAGACAGGAAGGUGAUAGACAUAAGCUCACAGGCAAUUAUUCAGGAGUCUGCAUCAUUUUAGAGCUAAAACUUGAAAAUACUAAUGCUGAACAGACAAUAAAUACUUUUAUGUCCUGAAACCCUUACAGGCAUUAGCAUUAAGUGACCAGACCUGCCCUUACUGGGCUGGUUAGGUGUGGAAAAGGGGACAAAGCACCUUCAGGACCAUUGGCAAGACAGGUCAUGCCAACAGCUGGUGUGAAUUAGCAGGUGAAGGCAGCGCACAUCCAUCAGCCAGAGACCUGUCCUUGUGUAAUAAUGUUCCCCCAGGCUGAAGCCACCUGCCCAUCUUCCGUUUUUCUGAGCACACACCUUUCUCCCAGGGGAGAUCUGCUUGGUUGCAUGACAAAGCACCCUUUGGAUAAAUAACGGGAAGGAUCUCAGCGCCAAUUGCAGGGCAC